rnacentral:rRNA from 1 species
CAAUAGCGUAUAUUUAAGUUGUUGCAGUUUAAAAGCUCGUAGUUGGAUUUCUGCUGAUCGCUGUCGGUCUGCCGUCAGGUGUGUACUGGCAGUGUUUGGCAUCUAUUCGAGAUUGGGUGUCCACUUGAUUGUGUGCACUCGAUGUCGGAGCUAAUACUUUGAGAAAAUUAGAGUGUUCCACGCAGGCGCGUGCCUUGAAUACUGCAGCAUGGGAUAUUGGAAGGCCGAUUGAGCUUUCUUGUUGGUUCUCGGUUUGAUCGGAAUGAUUAAUAGGGAUAGUUGGGGGCAUUCGUAUUCAACUGUCAGAGGUGAAAUUCUUGGAUUUGUUGAAGACGGACUACUGCGAAAGCAUCUGCCAUGGAUGUUCUCAUUGA